AUUGAACGCUGGCGGCAGGCCUAACACAUGCAAGUCGAGCGAGCGGCGGACGGGUGAGUAAUGUAUGGGGACUGCCCGAUAGAGGGGGAUAACUACUGGAAACGGUGGCUAAUACCGCAUACUAUCGGAUAACCCAUAUGGGAUUAGCUAGUAGGUGGGGUAAAGGCUCACCUAGGCGACGAUCUCUAGCUGGUCUGAGAGGAUGAUCAGCCACACCGGGACUUAGACACCGCCCCGACUCCUACGGAGGCAGCAGUGGGGAAUAUUGGACCAUGGGCGGCAGGCUUGUGGCGCCCUGCCGAGGUUUUGAAGAAGGGCUUAAGGUUGUAAAGUACUUUCAGCGGGGAGGCGUUACCCGCAGAAGAAGCACCGGCUAACUCCGUGCCAGCAGCCGCGGUAAUUC
rnacentral:rRNA from 1 species